rnacentral:lncRNA from 1 species
AUAGAACUCCGCUCCUUUUUAUUGAAUGGAGUAAAUUCGGUUUGCCUGUAGCAUUUAGAAUAUUCACCAAACGCUUUGAAGGUGUGUCUUUAAACCUUAAGAGUCCCUGUAAUCCUUUAAACUGUUUUUUAAUGACAUGGAAUGUGUUUGCCUCUGUUGAUCUUUCAUAUUCAUGAAUUCUUUUAAACAGUUUCUAAAAUCUUUAAAAAUGUGUUUAUUUUUUCUUUGAUCUGAAUUCUUUACAUUCUGAUUGCUCUUAGCAUGAUAGAAUAUACUUUUGCGAGGUUUCCAAGUAAAUUGCUUUAUUGAUCUGAUAUAUUAAUCUAUAUUUGUCAUAAUUUUAAAUUUAAUUUCUCUUCUGAUACUCCUGUGUUUUAUGCCUUUAGAGAAACUCAGUUAAUUUGUUUUUACCAUUUCAAAAUAAGAAAUAUGUUUUGACUCAAUAGUUUUAAUGAUUUACACAGAAAAUUAUGCAUAUUUCCAAACACUCUCUACAUACUUAUGACAAUUCAAAGCAUUAUACUUUCUUAUACAAUGGAUUUGAGAUAGCCAUGUGAUAACCCUCAGAAUUUACUGCUUCCCGGUGAACAUGCCUUGAAUAAUCCCCAUUUUUGAAUACGAUGAAUUUCACUCCUGUGAUUAGGAUAUGUUACAGAUCAAAAGGGAUUUUGCAGAUAUAAUUAAGGCUUCAAAUCAAUUGGCCUUAUAGUAGAUCAUUUGGGUGGGCCUGAGCUAAUCACAUUAGUCCUUUCAAAGAAGAGUUUUCUCCAGGCAGGAAGCCGGAGAGCUAUUCAGCGAUAGACUCCAGGAGUCCUGGAAGAAAGCAAACAGUCAUGGUGUGAAUUGCCUAUGGUGGCCACAUGGUAAAGAACUGCUGCCGGCAUCUAAGAGCUGAGAGUUGACCCAAGUCAACAGCUAGAAGGGUAAUGGGGACCUCAGUCCUAGAGUUACUAGGACAUAGUCUGCCAACAACCAGUGAACUUGGAAGAGAAUCCUGAGGCAAGCUGAGAAUUGCAACUUCAGCCAACAUCUUGAUUUCAGCCCAGGAGACUGAGCAGAGAAUACAGCCACAUGUCCAGACUUAUGACCUGCAGAAUCUCUGAGUUCUGAAGGUCAGAAGUCAGACCCAGAUCUCACUGGGCUAAAAGCUGUGCGUUGGUGGGGCUUCAUUCCCUUCUGGAAGCUCUAGAGGAGAAUGUUUUUUGGACUUUUUCCA